rnacentral:rRNA from 1 species
AUACGGAGGAUCCGAGCGUUAUCUGGAUUUAUUGGGUUUAAAGGGUGCGCAGGCGGCCAUUUAAGUCAGCGGUUAAAUCGUGGGGCUCCACCCCAUUCUGCCGUUGAUACUGGGUGGCUUGAUUGCGGUCGAGGUUGGCGGAAUUCGUUGUGUAGCGGUGAAAUGCAUAGAUAUGACGAAGAACACCGAUUGCGUAGGCAGCUGACCAGACCGCAAAUGACGCUCAUGCACGAAAGUGCGGGGAUCGAACAGGAUUAGAUACCCUGGUAGUCCGCACAGUAAACGAUGAAUACUUGUUUUCGGCGAUAUAAUGUCGGAGGCAAAGCGAAAGCGAUAAGUAUUCCACCAGGGGAGUACGCCGGCAACGGUGAAACUUAAAGGAAUUGACGGGG